rnacentral:rRNA from 1 species
CUUAAAUGAAUUGACGGGGGCCCGCACAAGCAGCGGAGCGUGUGGUUUAAUUCGAUGCAACGCGAAGAACCUCACCAGGGAUUGACAUGCUAGAAGUAGUGAACCGAAAGGGGAACGGACUGUUAAGUCAGUAGCUAGCACAGGUGCUACAUAGCUGUCGUCAGCUCGUGCCGUGAGGUGUUGGGUUAAGUCCCGUAACGAGCGCAACCCUCGUUGCCAGUUGUAUUUUUCUGGCGAGACCGCCCCGCAAAACGGGAGGAAGGUGGGGAUGACGUCAAGUCAGUAUGGCCUUUAUGCCCUGGGCUACACACACGCUACAAUGGACGGUACAGUAGGUCGCAAGGGAGCGAUCCGGAGCUAAUCCCCAAAACCGUCCUCAGUACAGAUUGCAGGCUGAAACCCGCCUGCAUGAAGCCGGAGUUGCUAGUAACCGCGUAUCAGCAUGGCGCGGUGAAUACGUUCUCGGGCCUU